GUGCCAGCCGCCGCGGUAAUACGAAGGGGGCUAGCGUUGCUCGGAAUCACUGGGCGUAAAGCGCACGUAGGCGGAUCUUUAAGUCAGGGGUGAAAUCCCAAGGCUCAACCUUGGAACUGCCUUUGAUACUGGGGAUCUCGAGUCCGGAAGAGGUUGGUGGAACUCCGAGUGUAGAGGUGAAAUUCGUAGAUAUUCGGAAGAACACCAGUGGCGAAGGCGGCCAACUGGUCCGGCACUGACGCUGAGGUGCGAAAGCGUGGGGAGCAAACAGGAUUAGAUACCCCCGUAGUCC
rnacentral:rRNA from 1 species